AUUGAACGCUGGCGGCAGGCCUAACACAUGCAAGUCGAGCGGAUGAAGGGAGCUUGCUCCUGGAUUCAGCGGCGGACGGGUGAGUAAUGCCUAGGAAUCUGCCUGGUAGUGGGGGAUAACGUCCGGAAACGGGCGCUAAUACCGCAUACGUCCUGAGGGAGAAAGUGGGGGAUCUUCGGACCUCACGCUAUCAGAUGAGCCUAGGUCGGAUUAGCUAGUUGGUGGGGUAAAGGCCUACCAAGGCGACGAUCCGUAACUGGUCUGAGAGGAUGAUCAGUCACACUGGAACUGAGACAUGGUCCAGACUCCUACGGGAGGCAGCAGUGGGGAAUAUUGGACAAUGGGCGAAAGCCUGAUCCAGCCAUGCCGCGUGUGUGAAGAAGGUCUUCGGAUUGUAAAGCACUUUAAGUUGGGAGGAAGGGCAGUAAGUUAAUACCUUGCUGUGUUGACGUUACCAACAGAAUAAGCACCGGCUAACUUCGUG
rnacentral:rRNA from 1 species